ensembl:lncRNA
CUUGUGCGCUCCUAUGGGCUCGCUUAGCUUCCUGUUAUUGUCUUCGCUCUGCUCCCACCCACUCUGCCCAACAGAUCUGCAGGGAUGCAGGACCCAGCUUGGCAUCGGGCUCCAAAAAAGCUGGCUGGCUACCUUCCCUCAAGAUCAUUCACCCAGUGACAGUGAGCUGGCAGCGACUUCCCAGAUUGACUUGUAGCCUGACCUGAAGCUUUCUUCCUGCCCAAGGUGAAAGAAGAAGGAAGAGCAUCUAUGUUUUAUUGAGAAUAGGUUUCUUUGGCAAGAAAAGGAAAUAAUACAGCCAGAUUAGCUCGAGGAAUGUGGCAGUCUUCUCUUCUUCUCCGGACAAGCUAUGGCAGUGCAGUCCAACCAGCCACUCCAAGGAUGCUGUUGGUGACCACACGCUGCCAUGGGGCCACUGUGCAUUGCUUCACAGCAGCUCUGCUCGGG